ensembl:lncRNA
AACACCCACAAUCACGAUGUUUCAUGGUGAAUGUCGGCGUGUGACGGUGAAUGUGGGCGUGUGAUGGUGAUGUCAGUGUUUGAUGGUGAAUGUCGGCGUGUGACGGAGAAUGUGGGCGUGUGAUGGUGAAUGUCGGCGUGUGAUGGUGAAUGUGGGUGUGUGUGAUGGUGAAUGUCGGCGUGUGAUGGUGAAUGUGGGCGUGUGACGGUGAAUGUCGGUGUGUGAUGGUGAGUGUCGGCGUGUGAUGGUGAGUGUCGGCGUGUGAUGGUGAAUGUGGGCGUGUGAUGGUGAAUGUCGGUGUGUGAUGGUGAGUGUCGGCGUGUGAUGGUGAAUGUGGGCGUGUGAUGGUGAAUGUCGGUGUGUGAUGGUGAGUGGUCGGCGUGUGAUGGUGAAUGUGGGCGUGUGACGGUGAAUGUGGGCGUGUGAUGGUGAAUGUGGGCGUGUGAUGGUGAGUGUCGGCGUGUGAUGGUGAAUGUCGGCGUGUGAUGGUGAGUGUCGGCGUGUGAUGGUGAAUGUGGGCGUGUGAUGGAGAAUGUGGGCGUGUGAUGGUGAAUGUCGGCGUGUGACGGUGAAUGUGGGCGUGUGACGGUGAAUGUGGGCGUGUGACGGUGAAUGUGGGCGUGUGAUGGUGAAUGUGGGCGUGUGGUGGUGAAUGUCGGCGUGUGAUGGUGAAUGUGGGCGUGUGAUGGUGAAUGUGGGCGUGUGAUGGUGAGUGUCGGCGUGUGAUGGUGAAUGUGGGCGUGUGACGGUGAAUGUCGGCGUGUGAUGGUGAAUGUAGGCGUGUGAUGGUGAAUGUGGGCGUGUGAUGGUGAAUGUGGGCGUGUGAUGGUGAGUGUCGGCGUGUGAUGGUGAAUGUCGGUGUGUGAUGGUGAAUGUGGGUGUGUGAUGGUGAAUGUGGGCGUGUGACGGUGAAUGUGGGCGUGUGACGGUGAAUGUGGGUGUGUGACGGUGAAUGUGGGCGUGUGAUGGUUAAUGUCGGCGUGUGACGGUGAAUGUCGGUGUGUGAUGGUGAAUGUCGGUGUGUGAUGGUGAAUGUCGAUGUUUCAUGGUGAAUGUCUGUAUUUGAUGCAUUUAUAUCAUGUGAUUUGAGUCAUGGAGAUGGAAAUACCCCUCCCCCCACACACCCACGACAUAAAAAACAUCUGGAAGCCAUUUUUACGGCCGGCUCGCUCUGCUUUUUAAACACAUGUCACAUUUUAAAGCUAUUUUCCCUCACUCUCUCCCUUCCAUCCCGUGAAACUGUCAUUAUCUUGUCCGAGGCCUUGAUUCCACUUAAUCCUCCCAUAAUAACCCACACCAGUCACCCGUAAACCAAAGAGAAAAGAAAAAAAGAAAAAGCGAUCUACAAACAUCGCAAAAAUCGAGACCUUCAAUCUCAGAUAUCCUCUGGAUUGGAAAAUACCUCGGGAAGUGGAAAAUAAGAAUCCCGAUGUAGGACGGGGAACUAAAAAGAUACGCACACACACACACACACACACACACACACACACACACACA